rnacentral:rRNA from 1 species
GGAAUUGUUCGCAAUGGGCGCAAGCCUGACGACGCAACGCCGCGUGGAGGAUGAAGGUCUUCGGAUUGUAAACUCCUGUUGCUUGGGACGAAAAGCUCCGACCUAACACGUCGGCGUCGGACGGUACCAAGUGAGGAAGCCCCGGCUCACUCUGUGCCCGCAGCCGCGGUAAUACAGAGGGGGCAAGCGUUGUUCGGAAUUACUGGGCGUAAAGGGCGUGAAGGCGGUCUGUUAAGUCGAACGUGAAAUCCCCGGGCUCAACCCGGGAACUGCGUCCGAUACUGGCUGGCUUGAAUCCGGGAGAGGGAUGCGGAAUUCCAGGUGUAGCGGUGAAAUGCGUAGAUAUCUGGAGGAACACCGGUGGCGAAGGCGGCAUCCUGGACCGGCAUUGACGCUGUAGCGCGAAAGCCAGGGGAGCAAAC